AGGGUCAAGGAUACAAGUGGUUGAGUUCAUUGUCAAUACUAAUUCUGAGAUGUCAUCAGUGGUAAUUGUUGCAAAACUAAAGAACAAAACCAUAGGAAUACUUGCUGGAAGAACCUCAGGGAGCACAGAGCUGAGGAGAGAACCAAUAGACUUAUAGGAGAAACUUGUUACACUGCUGAACAGAAGAACAUGUCCAAGGAAGAAAAUCUUCUUCUAGUGCAGUCAGUCCUUAAAUGGAAGGACAUGAUAAGACGAAAAUUCAGUCCGACUUUAACAAGCAAGGAAAAAAAAAAAAACUUGUCUCCAUGUGGUCAGCAGCUGAGUUCUUGUCAAACAGGUGGGGGCCCUCCAUGUAAACCUCUGUCUGAGAUUGGCGACAUAGUAGAGGAGAUACUUGGAACGGCCAAUCCCUCUAUUUGUGGCAUUCCAGAUGCCCCAGACCCUGCACUUCUCAAAUUGAAGGAGUUACAAAGAUGGUAAGAAGAAAAUUAUGCAUGUAAUAAUGUAUGCAUGUAAUGUGCCUUUUUAAUAAAUUGAUAGUAUUUUAAUCACCACAUUGAACUAAAUAAACAUGUUUGCAAUGUUUAAUAUUUUCUGCAUGUGAAUGUAGUAUAGAUAACUCUGGAGCCGGUUCAUCAGAUGCAUCCUCUCCUGUAUCAUCUCAGGACAUUUCCCUGUGUCCUACAGAUGAGCCUCACAAGACACGGACAGGAUUUGCACAGGGCGCAGCCACUGAGUAUGACAUUGAGUCCCUUAAAAGAAAAAAGCUCAAAUUGCAAAUUAAGUUACUGGAAAUUCAAAAUGAAUAUUACACACUAAAACUGAAAAGAAUUAAGAAUACUCAAUGAUUGUACAUAUGCUUUGUGUAAUAAAAUUGUGUAAGGAUAAAUUAGUUUGUUGUUACUUAUUGUCUACAAGUUUGCUUACCCAAAAUGUGAGUUAGCAAAGCAGUCCCUUAGUGAUGCUUUCCCCGAAAUGCUUUGUAAUGUGUGUUCGGUGGUAUUGUCAUCAUUCUCAUCAUAAUCAUGAUCACUGUCAUCAUCACCAUGAUUGUCAUUUUCAUCGUCAUCAUCGUCAUCAUCAAGCAAUGGGAGG
rnacentral:lncRNA from 12 species